rnacentral:rRNA from 1 species
AUUGAACGCUGGCGGCAGGCUUAACACAUGCAAGUCGAACGAGUGGCGGACGGGUGAGUAAUGUUUGGGAAUCUGCCUUAUGGAGGGGGAUAACUACGGGAAACUGUAGCUAAUACCGCGUACCAUAGGAUGAGCCCAAGUGGGAUUAGCGAGUGGGUGGGGUAACGGCUCACCAAGCCGACGAUCGCUAGCUGGUCUGAGAGGAUGACCAGCCACACUGGGACUGAGACACGGCCCAGACUCCUACGGGAGGCAGCAGUGGGGAAUAUUGCGCAAUGGGGGCAACCUGACGCAGCCAUGCCGCGUGAAUGAAGAAGGCCUUCGGGUUGUAAAGUUCUUUCGGUAGCGAGGCGUUAACUACAGAAGAAGCACCGGCUAACUCCGUGCCAGCCGCCGCGGUAAUGC